rnacentral:tRNA from 1 species
GGGCGCGUAGCUCAGUUGGCAGAGCACCUGACUUUUAAUCAGGUUGUCCCGGGUUCGAUUCCCGGCGCGCCCUCCA